GGCGGGAUGGAUCAGUCGGUAAUGGUGAUCGCUAGCAAUCUGGAGGUCCCGAGUUCAAGUCCGGUCUCACCG